rnacentral:misc_RNA from 1 species
AACGCACGAGACCUGCGGACCUGCGGAGGGAUCAUUAAUGAGAAGCUGCCCCUCGUGGGUAGACCUCCCACCCUCUGUGAACUUACCUUUGUUGCUUUGGCAGGCCCGUCCUCUGGACCGCCGGCUUUGGCUGGCCCGUGCCUGCCAGAGGAUUCCAAACCCUGUCUGUCAGUGUUGUCUGAGUCUAUAUGAAAUCGUUAAAACUUUCAGCAACGGAUCUCUAGAUCGGAAGAGCACACG